rnacentral:rRNA from 1 species
AUUGAACGCUGGCGGCAGGCCUAACACAUGCAAGUCGAGCGAGCGGCGGACGGGGGAGUAAUGUCUGGGAAACUGCCUGAUGGAGGGGGAUAACUACUGGAAACGGUAGCUAAUACCGCAUACCAUCAGAUGUGCCCAGAUGGGAUGAGCUAGUAGGUGGGGUAACGGCUAACCUAGGCGACGAUCCCUAGGUGGGUUGAGAGGAUGACCAGCCACACUGGAACGGAGUCACGGUCCAGACUCCUACGUGAGGCAGCAGUGGGGAAUAUUGCACAAUGGGCGCAAGCCUGAUGCAGCCAUGCCGCGUGUAUGAAGAAGGCCUUCGGGUUGUAAAGUACUUUCAGCGGGGAGGCGUUACCCGCAGAAGAAGCACCGGCUAACUCCGUGCCAGCCGCCGCGGUAAUAC